GACGAACGCUGGCGGCGUGCUUAACACAUGCAAGUCGAGCGGUAAGGCCCUUUCGGGGGUACACGAGCGGCGAACGGGUGAGUAACACGUGAGCAAUCUGCCCUUCACUUCGGGAUAACCACCGGAAACGGUGGCUAAUACCGGAUAUGACUGCCUUGGGCAUCCGGGGUGGUGGAAAGUUUUUUCGGUGGAGGAUGAGCUCGCGGCCUAUCAGCUUGUUGGUGGGGUGAUGGCCUACCAAGGCGACGACGGGUAGCCGGCCUGAGAGGGUGACCGGCCACACUGGGACUGAGACACGGCCCAGACUCCUACGGGAGGCAGCAGUGGGGAAUAUUGGACAAUGGGCGGAAGCCUGAUCCAGCAACGCCGCGUGAGGGAUGACGGCCUUCGGGUUGUAAACCUCUUUCAGUACCGACGAAGCGCGAGUGACGGUAGGUACAGAAGAAGCACCGGCCAACUACGUGCCAGCAGCCGCUGUAAAAC
rnacentral:rRNA from 1 species